rnacentral:lncRNA from 1 species
UCUUCCAGAUUUGUCUGUGGACAUGUCAGUUGUCAUGGCCGUUGCUGAAGAAGAAAUGAAAGAGAUACACCUUCAAAUGGAGGAAAAACCUGGUGAAGCUUCAUCUACCGCCACAGUUGUUGAUGGAUCCAAAGUGAAGUUCUCAGCCAUCUGCAAUAUGUUAGCAGCGCUGUCCCUGGGACUGCUGGCCGGAGGCUGCAUGGGAGAUAUGGGAAUAUCGAUGGCCUGCUUCAUAAAGGAAGCUGUACAAGGUCGAACUGAGCUCACAGCGAUGGUGCCCAAACUUUACCCAUUUAUCAGCUCUUCGUAUAUCACCUACGUGUCUCUUCUUGGGGCUUCACUGGCAUCAGGGGCUGGCUUCGCUUGUGGAUACCAGAUUUAUAGUCUGAAGAGACAGAGCCAAAAAGAUCCUGAAGCAUCAGUGUCAGUGUCUUUAGCUCUGGCUGCAUAUGUGGUUGUUCUGGGAGUGGCGGUCACUGGAGCUGCAGUCGGAGCCGUUUUGGAAUUUUCCUUUUCCAGUUUUAUGUUGAUCCCGUUUUCAGUGCAUUCAGGCGCAGCAUUUAUACUAGGACAGAUUGUGGUCAGCAUAGUAGCAUUUGCACUGUGUGCAUGUUCCUCAGGCUUUUAUUAUGGCUGUGUUAGUGUUGUUACAUUUUUUGUAUUAAGUUUGUUAGUAUUUUUGGAGUAUGCACUGGCUGUACUGUCUUUCAGAACAGGGUCUGUUCUUUUCUUGGACAUGGGGUCCAUGUUACCCCUCAUUCCUCCAUCGCUGGUGUUUUGCAUGCUUCAUAAAUUCCACAAAGUCCAGCUCAGCAAGGCAGCUGUGAAGAUACCAACUGUCAUGAUUAUCACAGUUCUCAUUGCCAGGAGCUGCUUCCACGAUAAAGACCAACCUUCAGUGCCAUUUCUACAUCCAGCCAACUUCACUCUACCUGAUUUACACGUUCUGGAGCGCUUCUUUGUGAUUGUGCUCGGUCUGCAGAUGUUUCAGGCUUCGUGUGGGGCGGUGGUCUUCUCGUAUUUCGUCAACAGAGAGGAGGCCAUGGAGAUCAGUGCAGGUGCAGUGUCUUUCGCUACGGCAGGAGUCUUGGCAGUCUUAAUGAAACUUUCUCCCAUGCUCCCAGCUGGAGUAUUAUUAGGGGGUCUACUGGCUGUGUCUGGAGGGGUUGGAGCAGCACUCACUGCAGCAGGAGAUCUGGGCCACAGAUAUGGAGGCCAUGGAGGAAGAGCUGCAGCAGUUCUAAUUGCUGCAGUUGGAGCUUUUCUGCCUUUAGUGGUUCAUGAUGUACAAUUCGCCCUUAUGGUGGCUCUCUGCACAGCUGCUAUUCCAGCGUCACCUUUUGUACAGUUCUGUUUGGACUCUAUUAACAGUUGCUUUGUCUGUGGAACAUCGUCAUGAUCUGUUAUCUGUUUUGUUUUGCUGCUGAUGUAUCUGUAGAAAUAAUAUAACUGUUUACUGUAAAUACACUGUAAAUUUGCAAUGUUUCAAAAAAGGUGUAUUGUUUUUAUAUACUGAUCAACACCUCCUUUAUUUUUUUAGCUUUACUAAGGAUAUAGAAGCACUUUGUAGUUCUAUAUUAACAGACUGCAGUCCUGUAUCUGUUUCUCUGUAUACUUUAUUAUUGUCCGCCUUUCACUCUGUUAUUCAACUGCAUGGACCCCAAAGGACCACCACAGAGCAUCUAUUAUUUGGUUGGUUUGUUAUUCUUCAGAACUGCAGUGACACUAUCAUGGUGUUUAUGUGUUAGUGUGUGUUGUGCUUGUGGUGCACUGGUGGUGCCACAGUGUGAAUGAAAAGCAUCUACUAUUGUUCAUCACCUCCAGGAACUCAUUUAAGAUGCUUAGAAAACUAUUCAAGGUGAUUCUACCUCAUGAAGACACUGAGUUUAAAAUAGCAAGACUGUGCAAAUCUGUCAUGGCUACUUUGACGAAUCCAACAUUGUUUUUUUGUUCACUAAAUAAUUCUUGAUGGUUUUCUUUAUAGUUUGGAUGCUGUUAGUGUUAAUCUACAAUGCAGAACAUUUUCAACUACUAAAUUUAAGAUGUGUCCAAACUUUUUGAGUGGUACUGUAUAUUUAUUUAAAAUUAUUUUAUGAAAAUGUAAUUUAGGGCGUGUUAGUGUUUCUUUUUUUAUCAUAAGGAUGCAAAAAAAUGCCUUUAACUUUGGUGCGUUCAUAUCUAACAGCGUGGCUCUUUGCACGUCUCAGCAGAGAAUUCUGACCUGCACGUUCACGCUAUAAAGGUACGCCAGCAGCUCAUUUAAAGGAAUGCUAUUUUAUACUUUAUUCUGUUUCUUGUUGAGUUAAAAGUCAGGUUUGCACUCUGCAGCAUGACACACAUAGAAAUGGACUCUUAAGAUUGACUGUUGUCUAAGUUGUAUUCAGUCAGUGGAGCACCUGCGUUUUCCGCUGAUAAAAUAGCAACACGCCAGAAAUUUACCUGAACACACCUCACUUCCAGACCACCACGGCCAUCAGCAUUUAUUCCUAAUCCUCGAUGCUAUUUUAACAGCGCUGGCUCAUGGCGUAAAAAUAGACUGUUGACAGGGUAUAAGAUAGCAAAGAGCAUUGCGAUUGAUUUGGGAUGAGCUGGAUCUUCACAGCAUGAGGGAAAGCAGCAGCUAUUGUUCAGCACCUCCAGGAACUCCUUUAAGAAAACUAUUCCAGGUGGUUCUACCUCAUGAAGACACUCACACUAAAAAAGAGAGGCAUGAUAUAAGUACUUUCUGGUACUCAAAGGUACUCUUUUCAUAAUUGUACCCUCAAAGGUAUAAUACUGGUCUUUACAGGGUCAGAUGUGUUCCCUCUGAAGUACAAAGUCUUUCCUAACAGCAGGAAGUACAGAUUUGUACCAUUUAACCAGCCAAAAGCUACAUUCGGUAUUCUGGAUCACUGUACUAAUAAACAAUAUAUUUUAUUUAUACA